GGACUUUCAAGACUGGGGAGCCCAUAACCUGCCACUCAAAAUGGCGCCGGGAUGGGAACAGAUCGGAUCAGAUGCGGCGGGAAACCACCAGGGCCACUGCCGGCCCGGCAACACCAUGAAGAUGGUGUGUUCAUGGCCAGCCUGCAGGUCCACCGGGGCUGCCAAAGGAGACACCUCCUUGCCAAUCCACGUCGCCACGCGUGCCCGCCCACGCCAGCCCCUCCGUGGCCGGAAGCGCCUCUGGCUGACCGGAAGUGCCUUGCCGCAGAGGCUGCCGGGAGUUGUAGUUCCACCCCAAUCCAGGGGCGCCUACGCAGUGCAGGGGUGUCCGAGUGUGAUCUGCGCACUUCCGGACCCCAGUCUGGUAUUACGGCGUCCAGCACCUCGGACCUGGCCGGUUCUGAGGUCUCCGCGGCACCUCGGACUGGUGGUUCCCUCGGCUCCCGGCUGUAGGGAGGGCACGUGUGGCGGAAUCCACGGCUGCAUAGCCAGGUCCCUGAACUCCACUCAGGCGUCCAGACCUCCUGUGGGUGAGGAGGGAACUGCUGAGGAAAGGCCCCCCUUCUCUCCAACCCUCCCUCCCUCCUGCGGACCCUACAUCCAGCCAAGGGUUUUCUUAGUGUCUUUGCGAAGGCUUAGAAUCGGACUGUAG
rnacentral:lncRNA from 1 species